GGUCAAGGAUGGGGUUGCGUGACAUUAGCUAGUUGGCGGGGUAACGGCCCACCAAGGCGACGAUGUCUAGGGGACCUGAGAGGGUGAUCCCCCACACUGGCACUGAGAUACGGGCCAGACUCCUACGGGAGGCAGCAGUAGGGAAUAUUGGGCAAUGGGCGAGAGCCUGACCCAGCCAUGCCGCGUGCCGGAUGAAGGCCUUCUGGGUUGUAAACGGCUUUUCUCAGGGAAGAAAAAGGGUGUGCGCACUCAACUGACGGUACCUGAGGAAUAAGCACCGGCUAACUCCGUGCCAGCAGCCGCGGUAAUACGGAGGGUGCAAGCGUUGUCCGGAUUUAUUGGGUUUAAAGGGUGCGUAGGCGGCCCGUUAAGUCCGGGGUGAAAGCCCACAGCUCAACUGUGGAACUGCCCUGGAUACUGGCGGGCUUGAGUCCAGACGAGGUUGGCGGAAUGGAUGCUGUAGCGGUGAAAUGCAUAGAUAGCAUCCAGAACCCCGAUUGCGUAGGCAGCUGACUAGGCUGGUACUGACGCUGAGGCACGAAAGCGUGGGGAGCGAACAGGAUUAGAUACCCUGGUAGUCCACGCCGUAAACGAUGGAUACUCGCUGGU
rnacentral:rRNA from 1 species